AAAAAUAAGUUCUUAUAUCUCGCUGAAAAGUUACUCUUUAGGUGAUUAUGUCUUAUUUUAUGUGUGAUGAGAUAUUUUGACUAGAAAUGAGAAAAAUACACGUGGUAAGAUUUAGAUUCUUGCAGUGUGUGAUUUCACUGUCUUGACUGAAACCACAAAUGGUUCUUUUUACCACCCAAAAGGAUUGGUUUGCAAAACACAUAGAAAGGUGACUCCAUUACUAUACAGCUUUAUCCAGCUGACAGAAAAAAACUGCACCUUAUCAAAAUUAGUGAAAGGAAAAGCAGCAAAAUUACACAAUUUAAAAACUAUAACUCUUAAAUUUUGACAUUUUUGCAUGAAAACAGUACUGAACAGCAUUACACAAUAUUUCAGUAGCCCGCUGUAAAUGCUGAUGUUGUUACCUUUGAAAAAAAGUAAAUAUAACUGUAGUAAAAUGAAAACUAUUUUCACCCAAAAAAAUUGAUCAUCAAAAAUUCCUGCGAAGUUUUAGCCGUUAAAAACAAAUCAGAGCAGACGUCCCUCCACUAUCAUUAGCAUCAACUUUACUAAAUUCACCUCAAUCUGUGGUUUAUCUUGUAAAACAUCAUUUUGCAUAAGCUGAAAAAUAUUUUCUGUCAAGGCAAUUUACACUUAUUCAUUUUUCUCCACAAGCAAUAUAUAUUUAUAUACACAUACAGACUCCUGCCUAUUGAAGUGCAUUCACAUUAACAUUCAUUCAGUUGCCUUUCAUUAAUAUGCUGUUUAUAAUUGGAUCUAAUAUUUGGUGUUUUGUUUAGUAAUAUAUAUUUUUGCGGUAUAUAAUAUAUGUGAGCCAUAUUUUGAUGUUUUAUUUGCAGCAACUGAAUACUGCAGUCAGAUGAGACUUAAAGUGUGUGUGUUCUCUGAGAACUGAGACUAAAGUGGUUUUCACAAUAAAACCACAGAUUCUGUCAUGAUUGAUGUACACUCCUAUCUUUGCCUGACAUAUGCUACUGUGUUUUAAAUUCAUCAUGUUUUGAAAUAUUGAUAUAAAAAUCAGCUUGUUGUGUCUAAAACUGACUGGUAUUUUAUUUUUGGAGCCCUGACUCACUGGUUCUAUUAAUGGCCUUGGCUUUGUACUGCAAACUGAAUGGGAUGUGUGGAUUGGAUAAUAAAGGUGGUCAUUUCUUAUUCAGAAA